CGAAUUCGCCCUUCCUACGGGAGGCAGCAGUGGGGAAUUUUACGCAAUGGGGGAAACCCUGACGUAGCGACUCCGCGUGAGCGAAGAAGCCCUCUGGGGUGUAAAGCUCUGUCAGCAGGGACGAAAAAAAUGACGGUGCCUGCAGAGGAAGCAUCGGCUAACUACGUGCCAGCAGCCGCGGUAAGACGUAGGAUGCAAGCGUUGUCCGGAUUCAUUGGGCGUAAAGAGUUCGUAGGCGGUUUGUUAAGUCUGAUGUUAAAGAUCAGGGCCCAACCCUGAGAGUGCAUUGGAUACUGGCAGACUGGAGUGCAGUAGAGGCAAGUGGAAUUCCCAGUGUAGCGGUGAAAUGCGUAGAUAUUGGGAAGAACACCGGUGGCGCAGGCGACUUGCUGGGCUGUAACUGACGCUGAGGAACGAAAGCUAGGGGAGCAAAUGGGAUUAGAUACCCCAGUAGUCCUAGCUGUAAACGAUGGAUACUAGGCGUUGCAGGUAUCGACCCCUGCAGUGCCGCAGUUAACGCGAUAAGUAUCCCGCCUGAGUAGUACGGCCGCAAGGUUGAAACUCAAAGGAAUUGACGG
rnacentral:rRNA from 1 species